AUUGAACGCUGGCGGCAUGCCUUACACAUGCAAGUCGAACGGUAACAGGUCUUCGGAUGCUGACGAGUGGCGAACGGGUGAGUAAUACAUCGGAACGUGCCCGAUCGUGGGGGAUAACGAAGCGAAAGCUUUGCUAAUACCGCAUACGAUCUACGGAUGAAAGCAGGGGACCGCAAGGCCUUGCGCGAACGGAGCGGCCGAUGGCCGAUUAGGUAGUUGGUGGGAUAAAAGCUUACCAAGCCGACGAUCUGUAGCUGGUCUGAGAGGACGACCAGCCACACUGGGACUGAGACACGGCCCAGACUCCUACGGGAGGCAGCAGUGGGGAAUUUUGGACAAUGGGCGAGAGCCUGAUCCAGCCAUGCCGCGUGCAGGAUGAAGGCCUUCGGGUUGUAAACUGCUUUUGUACGGAACGAAAAGACUCUGGUUAAUACCUGGGGUCCAUGACGGUACCGGAAGAAUAAGCACCGGCUAACUACGUG
rnacentral:rRNA from 1 species